AUUAGCUAGUUGGUGAGGUAAUGGCUCACCAAGGCAACGAUCAGUAUCCGGCCUGAGAGGGCGGACGGACACACUGGGACUGAGACACGGCCCAGACUCCUACGGGAGGCAGCAGUGGGGAAUUGUUCGCAAUGGGCGCAAGCCUGACGACGCAACGCCGCGUGGAGGAUGAAGAUCUUCGGGUCGUAAACUCCUGUCGAGCGGGAAGAAUUGCUUCGAGGUGAAUAUCCUCGAAGUUUGACGGUACCGCUAAAGGAAGCCCCGGCUAACUCCGUGCCAGCAGCCGCGGUAAUACGGGGGGGGCAAGCGUUGUUCGGAAUUACUGGGCGUAAAGGGCUCGUAGGCGGCCAACUAAGUCAGACGUGAAAUCCCUAGGCUCAACCUAGGAACUGCGUCUGAUACUGGUUGGCUUGAAUUCGGGAGAGGGAUGCAGAAUUCCAGGUGUAGCGGUGAAAUGCGUAGAUAUCUGGAGGAAUACCGGUGGCGAAGGCGGCAUCCUGGACCGACAUUGACGCUGAGGAGCGAAAGCUAGGGGAGCAAACGGGAUUAGAUACCCCGGUAGUCCUAGCCC
rnacentral:rRNA from 1 species